rnacentral:tRNA from 1 species
GGGGCCGUAGCUCAGAUAGGGAGAGCGCCGCCUUUGCACGGCGGAGGUCAGGGGUUCGAAUCCCCUCGGCUCCA